GGGUUGUGAGGUUAAGCGACUAAGCGUACACGGUGGAUGCCCUGGCAGUCAGAGGCGAUGAAGGGCGUGCUAAUCUGCGAUAAGCGCCGGUAAGGUGAUAUGAACCGUUAUAACCGGCGAUACCCGAAUGGGGAAACCCAGUGUGACUCGUCACACUAUCAUUAACUGAAUCCAUAGGUUAAUGAGGCGAACCGGGGGAACUGAAACAUCUAAGUACCCCGAGGAAAAGAAAUCAACCGAGAUUCCCCCAGUAGCGGCGAGCGAACGGGGAGGAGCCCAGAGCCUGAAUCAGCAUGUGUGUUAGUGGAAGCGUCUGGAAAGG
rnacentral:rRNA from 1 species